AAUGAACGCUGGCGGCAGGCCUAACACAUGCAAGUCGAACGAGGCGCGGGCGGGAGAGUAAUGUCUGGGAAACUGCCUGCUGGAGGGGGAUAACUAUUGGAAACGGUAGCUAAAACCGCAUACCAUGGGAUGUGCCCAGAUGGGUUUAGCUAGUAGGUGGGGUAAAGGGCCACCGAGGCGACGAACCCUAGCUGGUCUGAGAGGAUGACCAGCCACACGUGAACUGAGCAAUGGUCCAGACUCCAACGGGCGGCAGCAGUGGGGAAUAGUGCACAAUGGGCGCAAGGCUGAUGCAGCCAUGCCGCGUGUAUGAAGAAGGCCGUCGGGUUGUAAAGUACUUUCAGCGGGGACGCGGUACCCGCAGAAGAAGCACCGGCUAACUCCGUGCCAGCAGCCGCGGUAAUAC
rnacentral:rRNA from 1 species